GGCUGGAUGGCCGAGUGGUCUAAGGCGGUAGACUCAAGAACUCAGUGUCUUCCCCACAAAAUGGGGUGUAUUCUACUCUCGCAAGAGGCGCGCGUUCGAAUCGCGCUCCAGUCA